UACGAAGGGGGCUAGCGUUGUUCGGAAUCACUGGGCGUAAAGCGCACGUAGGCGGAUGUGCCAGUCAGGGGUGAAAUCCCGGAGCUCAACUUCGGAACUGCCUCUGAUACAGCACGUCUUGAGUCCGGAAGAGGUGGGUGGAAUUCCUAGUGUAGAGGUGAAAUUCGUAGAUAUUUGGAAGAACACCGGUGGCGAAGGCGGCCCACUGGUCCGGUACUGACGCUGAGGUGCGAAAGCGUGGGGAGCAAACAGG
rnacentral:rRNA from 1 species